GGCUCCGUCGUCUAAGCAGGUUAGGACACAGCCCUUUCAAGGCUGAAAAGCGGGUUCGAACCCCGUCGGAGCUACUA
rnacentral:tRNA from 1 species